rnacentral:rRNA from 1 species
AACGCUAGCUACAGGCUUAACACAUGCAAGUCGCGGGGUAACGAGAGGGAAGCUUGCUUUCCUUGUCGACGACCGGCGCACGGGUGAGUAACGCGUAUCCAACCUGCCCAUUACCACGGGAUACCCCGUCGAAAGGCGGCCUAAUACCGUAUGCAGUCGUCAGAUGACAUCAGAGGACGACGAAAGGAUUGGCGGUAAUGGAUGGGGAUGCGUCUGAUUAGGUAGUUGGAGGGGUAACGGCCCACCAAGCCAUCGAUCAGUAGGGGUUCUGAGAGGAAGGUCCCCCACAUUGGAACUGAGACACGGUCCAAACUCCUACGGGAGGCAGCAGUGAGGAAUAUUGGUCAAUGGGCGCGAGCCUGAACCAGCCAAGUAGCGUGAGGGACGACGGCCCUAUGGGUUGUAAACCUCUUUUAUGCGGGAAUAAAAUGUUUGACGUGUCAUACAUUGUAGGUACCGCAAGAAUAAGGACCGGCUAAUUCCGUGCCAGCAGCCGCGGUAAUACGGAGGAUCCGAGCGUUAUCCGGAUUUAUUGGGUUUAAAGGGAGCGUAGGCGGACGCUUAAGUCAGUUGUGAAAGUUUGCGGCUCAACCGUAAAAUUGCAGUUGAUACUGGGUGUCUUGAGUACAGUAGAGGCAGGCGGAAUUCGUGGUGUAGCGGUGAAAUGCUUAGAUAUCACGAAGAACUCCGAUUG